UUUCCCUGGAUGCUGUAGUAUGAUCAGAGAGAUACCCUCCUGGACAGACUGUGGAUCCAGUCCUACAUUAAGGGAGCUAAAGCUGUCCCAUUUCUUGAUAUUUCUGGGUUUCUUUGUCUGAGCAUCCCCAGAAUGAGCUCUUCAUUCCCCACUUGCUCCUGUUUGGAAACUGGAUUUCUUCUGUGCACCUGAUCAACUCUGGGCUCAAGGCUGAGAGCACUAGGACCCCGAGAAGUGCAGAAAAUAACUAACGCAGGCUCACCAUGGGGAUGAAGUGGCUAAAGAAGCAACCCUGACUUCCCACCAGGGAGAAGAGGAAAGACAACGUUAAUGAAGAUGGAGUCUGGCAGAGUGACGUACACCUGGGAUUCCAGCACUGGAGGGUAGAGGCAGGAGGAUCGGGAGUUCAAACUCAUCCUCAGCUGCAUAUCAAGUUCUAGGCCAGCCUGAGAUACAUGGGAUCCUGCUUCAAAAAUAAAACAAAAAAUUAAU